UUUAGCAGCAAUUCUUGUAAUUUUACUCUUUCAAAGCAUGAGAGGUUACAACAAUUUUAAUGUUUUUUUAAAUGCAAGGUUACCAACUGGUCACUAUUUUAGAACAUGGGGGUUAGAACAAUUUUAGCAAUAAUUCUUGUAAUUUUACUCUUUCAAAUCAGGAGAUGUUAGAACAGUUUUAAUGGCAAUUUUCAAAUGCAAGGUUGCACACAAUUCACUUUUUUAAAUGAGGGUUAGAAGAAUUUUAGCAACAAUUAUUUUUAUCAUUUUACUCUUUCAAGACACAAGGGUUAGAACAAUUUUAGCCAUUUUACGAACAAUUUUAAUAGCAUGUUGCAUGUCCUGCGAGUAAUGCAAUUCAAUUAUAAUCUGUACAUUAUGGUUUAAUUAGGGCAGAGAGAUCAACAUAUUUUUACAUGUUUUGUUUUAUUUGAAUUUAAUGAAUUUUAAAUAAAUACCAGAGUAAUUGUGAAA